CCAGCACCUUCCACGAGCUUGUAAAAUCUCUGUGCCUAUCAGCAGCGGUGGAAGAGGAUGCGGACAAGACAGCUGUGUCUGUAUUCCUGACUUCCAUUUACCUUGGAGACAUGUGCCUUGGAACACAGGAGCUGGAUGUGUUACUUACCUGUGUCAGAUUGAUCUGCACUAGUGCAGAUUAUGAGUUACAGGGUGACUCAGACACUCGGAAACAAGGAGAAGAAGCUGUUAUGUCUCUAUGCAAAAAAAUUUGGCUCCAUCAGGGCAUUAAUUCAGGGGACUAACACUUCACCUUUAACGUUCUUCUCUGCUCUGUCCGCAUCGGCAUGAGAGCCUCCUGAGAUGUCCUCAUAUAGACCUACUUGUUUGGUCAAAAAGAUCAGUAUUUUAUUACUGGGUGCAAACUCAGGGGGAAGAUUUGAUUCAACAUCUCUCAGUGGGAACUUAAAGUUCCAAUUUCCCUUUUCUUGAA